rnacentral:rRNA from 1 species
UGGGGAAUAUUGGACAAUGGGCGAAAGCCUGAUCCAGCAAUGCCGCGUGAGUGAUGAAGGCCUUAGGGUUGUAAAGCUCUUUUACCAGGGAUGAUAAUGACAGUACCUGGAGAAUAAGCUCCGGCUAACUCCGUGCCAGCAGCCGCGGUAAUACGGAGGGAGCUAGCGUUGUUCGGAAUUACUGGGCGUAAAGCGUACGUAGGCGGUGACUCAAGUCAGAGGUGAAAGCCUGGAGCUCAACUCCAGAACUGCCUUUGAAACUAGGUCGCUAGAAUCACGGAGAGGUGAGUGGAAUUCCGAGUGUAGAGGUGAAAUUCGUAGAUAUUCGGAAGAACACCAGUGGCGAAGGCGGCUCACUGGACGUGUAUUGACGCUGAGGUACGAAAGCGUGGGGAGCAAACAGGAUUAGAUACCCCGGUACCUGAGCGGGCUGGCAAGGCGCAU